UACGUAGGGUGCAAGCGUUGCCCGGAUUUAUUGGGCGUAAAGGGCGCGUAGGCGGCUCUGCACGUUCGUUGUGAAAUCGCCCGGCUCAACUGGGCGGGGUCAGCGGAUACGGCAGAGCUUGAGCAAGCUAGGGGGCAAUGGAAUUCCCGGUGUAGUGGUGGAAUGCGUAGAUAUCAGGAGGAACACCAAUUGCGAAGGCAGCUCGCUGGGACGUUACUGACGCUGAGACGCGAAAGCGUGGGGGGCAAACAGG
rnacentral:rRNA from 1 species